ACGAACGCUGGCGGCGUGCCUAAUACAUGCACGUAGAACGCUGAAGAGAGGAGCUUGCUCUUCUUGGAUGAGUUGCGAACGGGUGAGUAACGCGUAGGUAACCUGCCUUGUAGCGGGGGAUAACUAUUGGAAACGAUAGCUAAUACCGCAUAACAAUGGAUGACCCAUGUCAUUUAUUUGAAAGGGGCAAAUGCUCCACUACAAGAUGGACCUGCGUUGUAUUAGCUAGUAGGUGAGGUAACGGCUCACCUAGGCGACGAUACAUAGCCGACCUGAGAGGGUGAUCGGCCACACUGGGACUGAGACACGGCCCAGACUCCUACGGGAGGCAGCAGUAGGGAAUCUUCGGCAAUGGGGGCAACCCUGACCGAGCAACGCCGCGUGAGUGAAGAAGGUUUUCGGAUCGUAAAGCUCUGUUGUAAGUCAAGAACGAGUGUGAGAGUGGAAAGUUCACACUGUGACGGUAGCUUACCAGAAAGGGACGGCUAACUACGUG
rnacentral:rRNA from 1 species